rnacentral:rRNA from 1 species
GCCAGACUCCUACGGGAGGCAGCAGUGAGGAAUAUUGGUCAAUGGGCUUACGCCUGAACCAGCCAAGUCGCGUGAGGGAAGACUGCCCUAUGGGUUGUAAACCUCUUUUGUCAGGGAGCAACGCCGGCUACGUGUAGCCGGACUGAGAGUACCUGAAGAAAAAGCAUCGGCUAACUCCGUGCCAGCAGCCGCGGUAAUACGGAGGAUGCGAGCGUUAUCCGGAUUUAUUGGGUUUAAAGGGUGCGUAGGCGGGAUGCCAAGUCAGCGGUAAAAAUGCGGUGCUCAACGCCGUCGAGCCGUUGAAACUGGCGUUCUUGAGUGGGCGAGAAGUAUGCGGAAUGCGUGGUGUAGCGGUGAAAUGCUUAGAUAUCACGAAGAACCCCGAUUGCGAAGGCAGCCUGCCGCAGCGUUACUGACGCUGAAGCUCGAAAGCGCGGGUAUCGAACAGGAUUAGAUACCCUGGUAACG